rnacentral:rRNA from 1 species
CCUACGGGAGGCAGCAGUGGGGAAUCUUGCGCAAUGGGCGAAAGCCUGACGCAGCGACGCCGCGUGCGGGACGAAGGCCUUCGGGUCGUAAACCGCUUUCAGCAGGGACGAGGCGAAAGUGACGGUACCUGCAGAAGAAGCCCCGGCUAACUACGUGCCAGCAGCCGCGGUAAUA